rnacentral:lncRNA from 1 species
AUGUUACUCCAUUUAAUCAGUCUUAAACUACCUAGAGGACAGAGGUUUAGGGAGGUUUGUCAACUUGUUGAAGACCACACUGCUCCAGUGGCUGCCAAACUGAGACCACCUUCGGGGCUGUGCUGGCUGACACCUUUAGCACCUAAGGGCCACUGGACCUAUGCAGGGUGUAACCUGCCCAGACCUGAGGCUGGCCUGAGAAGGCAGGUUGGUCUGAAUUCAAAGGACCUUCCUGCCCGGCAUCAUUUAGCCAAGACUAUCUUUUGUGGAGAUCAAGUUGGGAAAUCACAUUUAGUCUCUUCAAACAUCUACCUUCAUAAGCAACCCUCACAUACCGCAGAGAUCAGAAAAAGGAACAAACCACACUGCAGUGUGCAGGUGGGCAGAAACAGGGAAGGAGCAGUUAGAAACUACACAUGAAGAGUCUGGGCCAGCGGGGGUCUCUGCAACAGCAGUCUGAGCUAAGCUCCUGGUAGAAGCUCAUCUAAACAGCACAAUUAUGCAGCAAAAGGAGGAACCCCUUUCCCUGUGGCAUCAGUGACCGCUCCUUAACCAUGUACAACCAAUGGGUACUGAGCCUAUUUCCUUAUCUGUAAAACAGGAUAAUGACGAUGUUUUAAGGAUUAGAAUUAAUGUGCGUCAAUCCCCUUGUAAGACUCUAUUACAUACUUGGUUGCCAUACUAGUAAUCGGGAGGCUUUAAGGAAAGAUCUCACUUAUUUCAUCAAUUUCCUCUCCUGCUGUAGCUUACCACAAUUUUUUGAAGUGAUGUAUCAAUUACAGGGUAAACGUGACUCCUGGAGUAAGUGUCAUUUACAGGGCACGGCUCCUCCCACUUUCUCAGGACCACUGCUGUGGACCACCAAUGAAGAAAGGGCACACUAUGAUAUCAAGAGCUGGGCUGACAGUGAGGUCCCUGUGUGCCAUCUGUGACUGUUCCCUAGAUGACAGCUUCUGGACAGUGCUGCCCCACAUCUGAAAAUUCUGACACACACACACACCAUUUCACUCACAUAGUCAUUUUAAUCAUACACAUCUCAGCCAUGGGGCACUGACUGUACUCUGGAAAGGAAAGGGACAGUUAGGUCAGGUUAUGUUUCAUACUUCAUAGUUUCUGAAAAGGUGAGAAUGCUUGAAGAUAGAUUUUUCAU